rnacentral:rRNA from 1 species
UACGGAGGGUGCAAGCGUUAUCCGGAUUUAUUGGGUUUAAAGGGUGCGCAGGCGGAACAUUAAGUCAGUGGUGAAAGCCCCUCGCUCAACGAGGGAACUGCCAUUGAUACUGUUGUUCUUGAGUUCAGUUGAAGUGGGCGGAAUAUGUUGUGUAGCGGUGAAAUGCUUAGAUAUGACAUAGAACUCCGAUCGCGAAGGCAGCUCACUAAGCUGAUACUGACGCUCAGGCACGAAAGCGUGGGGAGCAAACAGG